rnacentral:rRNA from 1 species
ACGAACGCUGGCGGCAUGCCUAACACAUGCCAGUCGAACGAGACCUUCGGGUCUAGUGGCGCACGGGUGCGUAACGCGUGGGAACCUGCCCUUAGGUUCGGAAUAACUCCCCGAAAGGGGUGCUAAUACCGGAUAAUGUCUUCGGUCCAAAGAUUUAUCGCCUUUGGAUGGGCCCGCGUUGGAUUAGCUAGUUGGUAGGGUAAAAGCCUACCAAGGCGACGAUCCAUAGCUGGUCUGAGAGGAUGAUCAGCCACACUGGGACUGAGACACGGCCCAGACUCCUACGGGAGGCAGCAGUGGGGAAUAUUGGACAAUGGGCGAAAGCCUGAUCCAGCAAUGCCGCGUGAGUGAUGAAGGCCUUAGGGUUGUAAAGCUCUUUUACCCGGGAUGAUAAUGACAGUACCGGGAGAAUAAGCUCCGGCUAACUCCGUG